rnacentral:rRNA from 1 species
UACGUAGGGACCAAGCGUUGUUCGGAUUUACUGGGCGUAAAGGGCGCGUAGGCGGCUUGUCAAGUCACUUGUGAAAUCUCUGGGCUUAACCCAGAACGGCCAAGUGAAACUGACAUGCUAGAGUGCAGAAGGGGCAAUCGGAAUUCUUGGUGUAGCGGUGAAAUGCGUAGAUAUCAAGAGGAACACCUGAGGUGAAGACGGGUUGCUGGGCUGACACUGACGCUGAGGCGCGAAGCCAGGGAGCAAACGGG